GGAAGUAAAAAGUCGUAACAAGGUUUCCGUAGGUGAACCUGCGGAAGGAUCAUUCAUAAUAAAGUGUUUUAUGGCACUUUUUAAAAAUCCAUAUCCACCUUGUGUGCAACGUUAGAUCUCGUCAAUCUUGGCGAGAUUUUUAUACAUCAACUCAUUCUUUAACUAAUUUGUCUGAAAAAUAUUAUGAAUACUUAAUUCAAAAUACAACUUUCAACAACGGAUCUCUUGGCUCUC
rnacentral:misc_RNA from 1 species